rnacentral:rRNA from 1 species
GACAGAGGCCUCGAGCGUUAGGCGGAAUCACUGGGCUUAAAGCGUGUGUAGGCGGAUCGUUAAGUACCUUGUGAAAUCCCACGGCUCAACCGUGGAACGGCUGGGUAUACUGGCGGUCUUGGGCCAUUCAGGGGCGACUGGAACAAGCGGUGGAGCGGUGAAAUGCGUAGAUAUCUGGAGGAACACCGGUGGCGAAAGGCGACAUCCUGGACCGGUAUUGACGCUGAGGCGCGAAAGCCAGGGGAGCAAACGGG